rnacentral:lncRNA from 1 species
CUUCAUCAACAAUUUCAUAUUAAAGAUCUUGUUUAUUUGAAAUAUUUUCUUGGUUUGGAAGUGGCAAGAUCCAAAGCUGGUAUUGUCAUAUCACAACGAAAAUAUGCUCUAGAGAUUCUAGAUGAUGUUGGUUUUCUUGGAGUACAACCUGUUGAUUUUCCUAUGGAACAAAACAUAACGCUUACAAAUGAUAAAGGUGAACUCUUACUUAAUCCAUCUCGUUACAGAAGAUUGAUAGGUCAGUUAACUUACCUUACAAUCACCAGGCCGGAUAUUACAUACUCAAUUAAUAUUCUAAGUCAAUUUAUGCAUGCUCCAAGAAAGCCUCAUUGGGAUGCUGCUCUUCGCAUUGUGAGGUAUAUGAAAGGAAGCCCAGGUCUCGGGUUGUUGUUCUCUUCCAACAGUUGCCUAACAUUGAAGGCUUGUUGUGAUGCUAAUUGGGCUAACUGUCCCAUGACGAGAAGAUCAACUACAGGAUAUGUCGUGUUCCUUAGUAACCUUUAAUCUCUAGGAAGACAAAGAAGCAAAAGACAGUGUCUAGAUCGUCCUCGGAAGCAGAGUACAGCUCAAUGGCUGCCGCAACUUGUGAACUCACCUGGCUAAGAUUUUUGUUCAUUGGGACCUGUCAUAUUAUUUUGUGACAACCAAGCUGCCCUUUAUAUUACAGCAAAUCCUGUGUAUCAUGAACAUGCAAAGCAUAUUGAACUUGAUUGUCAUGUUGUGAGAGAAAAGAUCCAGG